rnacentral:rRNA from 1 species
GAUGAACGCUGGCGGCGUGCCUAAUACAUGCAAGUCGAGCGAAAGGACGAGAAGCUUGCUUUUCUGAUGUUAGCGGCGGACGGGUGAGUAACACGUGGAUAACCUACUUAUAAGACUGGGAUAACUUCGGAAAAGCGGAGCUAAUACCGGAUAAUCUUUUGAACCGCAUGGUUCAAAGGUGAGAGACGGUGUUGCUGUAACUUCUAGAUGGAUCCGCGCUGCAUUAGCUAGUUGGUAAGGUCACGGCUUAUCAAGGCUACGAGGCAUGGCCGACCUGAGAGAGGGGUAGGCGACACGGGAGCGGAGACGCGGACCUUACUCCUACGGGAGGCAGCAGUAGGGAAUCGGCCGCAGUGGGCGAGAGCCUGACGGAGUAGCGCGGCGUGAGUUGUGGAGAUCUUCGGAGCGUGAUGCUCGGUUAUGAGUGGAGAACAUAUGUGUAAUGAAAUGAGGACAGCUUGACGGUACCGAGUCAGAAAGCCACGGCUAACUACGUG